rnacentral:rRNA from 1 species
UAGGGAAUCUUCGGCAAUGGACGGAAGUCUGACCGAGCAAUGCCGCGUGAGUGAAGAAGGUUUUCGGAUCGUAAAGCUCUGUUGUAAGAGAAGAACGAGUGUGAGAGUGGAAAGUUCACACUGUGACGGUAUCUUACCAGAAAGGGACGGCUAACUACGUGCCAGCAGCCGCGGUAAUACGUAGGUCCCGAGCGUUGUCCGGAUUUAUUGGGCGUAAAGCGAGCGCAGGCGGUUAGAUAAGUCUGAAGUUAAAGGCUGUGGCUUAACCAUAGUAGGCUUUGGAAACUGUUUAACUUGAGUGCAAGAGGGGAGAGUGGAAUUCCAUGUGUAGCGGUGAAAUGCGUAGAUAUAUGGAGGAACACCGGUGGCGAAAGCGGCUCUCUGGCUUGUAACUGACGCUGAGGCUCGAAAGCGUGGGGAGCAAACAGGAUUAGAUACCCUGGUAGUCCACGCUGUAAACGAUGAGUGCUAGGUGUUAGACCCUUUCCGGGGUUUAGUGCCGUAGCUAACGCAUUAAGCACUCCGCCUGGGGAGUACGACCGCAAGUUG